UCUAGUGGCGGACGGGUGAGUAACGCGUGAGUAACCUGCCCUAAAGAGGGGAAUAACAACGAGAAAUCGUUGCUAAUACCGCAUAAGACCACGGUGCCGCAUGGCACAGAGGUCAAAGAUUUAUCGCUUAGGAUGGACUCGCGUCCCAUUAGCUAGUUGGUAGGGUAAAGGCCUACCAAGGCGACGAUGGGUAGCCGAGCUGAGAGGCUGAUCGGCCACACUGGGACUGAGACACGGCCCAG
rnacentral:rRNA from 1 species